rnacentral:rRNA from 1 species
AUUGAACGCUGGCGGAAUGCUUUACACAUGCAAGUCGAACGGUAGAGGGGGCAACCCCUCGAGAGUGGCGAACGGGUGAGUAAUAUAUCGGAACGUGCCCAGUCGUGGGGGAUAACGUAGCGAAAGUUACGCUAAUACCGCAUACGAUCUAAGGAUGAAAGCGGGGGAUCGCAAGACCUCGCGCGCUUGGAGCGGCCGAUAUCAGAUUAGGUAGUUGGUGGGGUAAAGGCUCACCAAGCCAACGAUCUGUAGCUGGUCUGAGAGGACGACCAGCCACACUGGAACUGAGACACGGUUCAGACUCCUACGGGAGGCAGCAGUGGGGAAUUUUGGACAAUGGACGCAAGUCUGAUCCAGCCAUUCCGCGUGCAGGAUGAAGGCCCUCGGGUUGUAAACUGCUUUUGUACGGAACGAAAAGGUCUCUCUUAAUACGGGGGACUCAUGACGGUACCGUAAGAAUAAGCACCGGCUAACUACGUGCCAGCCGCCGCGGUAACAC